AUUGAACGCUGGCGGCAGGCUUAACACAUGCAAGUCGAGCGGAGAUGAGGUGCUUGCACCUUAUCUUAGCGGCGGACGGGUGAGUAAUGCUUAGGAAUCUGCCUAUUAGUGGGGGACAACAUUCCGAAAGGAAUGCUAAUACCGCAUACGUCCUACGGGAGAAAGCAGGGGAUCUUCGGACCUUGCGCUAAUAGAUGAGCCUAAGUCGGACUAGCUAGUUGGUGGGGUAAAGGCCUACCAAGGCGACGAUCUGUAGCGGGUCUGAGAGGAUGAUCCGCCACACUGGGACUGAGACACGGCCCAGACUCCUACGGGAGGCAGCAGUGGGGAAUGUUGGACAAGGGGGGGAACCCCGAUCCAGCCAUGCCGCGUGUGUGAAGAAGGCCUUAUGGUUGUAAAGCACUUUAAGCGAGGAGGAGGCUACUGAGACUAAUACUCUUGGAUAGUGGACGUUACUCGCAGAAUAAGCACCGGCUAACUCUGUGCCAGCAGCCGCCGUAACAC
rnacentral:rRNA from 1 species